AUACGGAGGGAGCGAGCGUUAAUCGGAAUUACUGGGCGUAAAGCGCGCGUAGGCGGUUUGUUAAGUUGGAUGUGAAAGCCCCGGGCUCAACCUGGGAACUGCAUUCAAAACUGGCAGGCUAGAGUAUGGUAGAGGUAAGUGGAAUUCCGGGUGUAGCGGUGAAAUGCGUAGAUAUCCGGAGGAACAUCAGUGGCGAAGGCGACUUGCUGGACUAAUACUGACGCUGAGGAGCGAAAGCGUGGGGAGCAAACGGGAUUAGAAACCCCGGUAGUCC
rnacentral:rRNA from 1 species